CCAAAGGCUCUUUUCAGAGCCACCACGUUUUCAAGUAAAUUGGCUG
rfam:Canis lupus familiaris chromosome 35, whole genome shotgun sequence.